UACGGAGGGUGCAAGCGUUGCUCGGAAUUACUGGGCGUAAAGGGCUCGUAGGCGGCCAACUAAGUCGGAUGUGAAAUCCCCAGGCUCAACCUGGGAACUGCAUCCGAUACUGGAUGGCUUGAAUCCGGGAGAGGGAUGCAGAAUUCCAGGUGUAGCGGUGAAAUGCGUAGAUAUCUGGAGGAAUACCGGUGGCGAAGGCGGCAUCCUGGACCGGCAUUGACGCUGAGGAGCGAAAGCCAGGGGAGCAAACGGG
rnacentral:rRNA from 1 species